rnacentral:rRNA from 1 species
AGAUGGGCAUGCGUAACAUUAGCUAGUAGGUGAGGUAAGGGCUCACCAAAGCUACGAUGUUUAGGGGUCCUGAGAGGGUUAUCCCCCAGACUGGUACUAGAGACACGGAACAGACUCCUACGGGAGGCAGCAGUGAUGAAUAUUGGUCAAUGGGCGCAAGCCUGAACCAGCCAUCCCGCGUGCUGGAAGACGGACCUAUGGGUUGUAAACUGCUUAUCUGAUGGAAGAAUAACGCUGAUUCGUUCAGUGGACGACGGUACCUCAGGAAUAAGCAUCGGCUAACUCCGUGCCAGCAGACGCGGUAACUACGGAGGAUGCAAGCGUUAUCCGGAUUCAUUGGGUUUAAAGGGUGCGUAGGCGGACUGGUAAGUCAGUGGUGAAAUCCUGCAGCUUAACUGUGGAAUUGGCAUUGAAACUGUCAGUCUUGAGUCAGGUUGAGGUAGGCGGAAUGUGUAAUGUAGCGGUGAAAUGCAUAGAUAUUACACAGAAUAGCGAUUGCGUAAGCAGCUUACUGGACCUGCACUGACGCUGAGGCACGAAAGCGUGGGGAUCAAACAGGAUUAGAUACCCUGGUAGUCCACGCCGUAGACUAUGAUUACUCGUUGUUGGCAAUACAUCGUCAGCGAUCAAGCGAAAGCGAUAAGUAAUCCACCUGGGGAGUACGCUCGCAAGAGUGAAACUCAAAGGAAUUGACGGGGGCCCGCACAAGCGAUGGAACAUGUGGUUUAAUUCGAUGAUACGAGAGGAACCUUACCUGGGCUUAAAUGUAGACUGCAUUCACGGGAAACCGUGAUGUACAUUAGACUGUUUACAAGGUGCUGCAUGGUUGUCGUCAGCUCGUGCCGUGAGGUGUCGGGUUAAGUACCAUAACGAGCGCAACCCUUAUCGUUAAUUGCCAUCGGUUAAAGCCGGGGACUCUAGCGAAACUGCCACAAUAAGGUGAGAGGAAGAUGGGGAUGACGUCAAAUCAGCACGGCCCGUAUGUCCAGGGCUACACACGUGUUACAAUGGUUAGAACAAAGGACAG